rfam:Pseudovibrio sp. FO-BEG1, complete genome.
GGCGGGGUAGCUCAGUUGGUUAGAGCAGCGGAAUCAUAAUCCGCGUGUCGGGGGUUCAAGUCCCUCCCUCGCUA